UUAACACAUGCAAGUUGAGGGGCAGCACAGGUAGCAAUACCGGGUGGCGACCGGCGCACGGGUGAGUAACGCGUAUGCAACUUGCCUAUCAGAGGGGGAUAACCCGGCGAAAGUCGGACUAAUACCGCAUGAAGCAGGGGCCCCGCAUGGGGAUAUUUGCUAAAGAUUCAUCGCUGAUAGAUAGGCAUGCGUUCCAUUAGGCAGUUGGCGGGGUAACGGCCCACCAAACCGACGAUGGAUAGGGGUUCUGAGAGGAAGGUCCCCCACAUUGGUACUGAGACACGGACCAAACUCCUACGGGAGGCAGCAGUGAGGAAUAUUGGUCAAUGGCCGAGAGGCUGAACCAGCCAAGUCGCGUGAGGGAUGAAGGUUCUAUGGAUCGUAAACCUCUUUUAUAAGGGAAUAAAGUGCGGGACGUGUCCCGUUUUGUAUGUACCUUAUGAAUAAGGAUCGGCUAACUCCGUGCCAGCAGCCGCAGUAAUACGGAGGAUCCGAGCGUUAUCCGGAUUUAUUGGGUUUAAAGGGUGCGUAGGCGGCCUUUUAAGUCAGCGGUGAAAGUCUGUGGCUCAACCAUAGAAUUGCCGUUGAAACUGGGGGGCUUGAGUAUGUUUGAGGCAGGCGGAAUGCGUGGUGUAGCGGUGAAAUGCAUAGAUAUCACGCAGAACCCCGAUUGCGAAGGCAGCCUGCCAAGCCAUGACUGACGCUGAUGCACGAAAGCGUGGGGAUCAAACAGGAUUAGAUACCCUGGUAGUCCACGCAGUAAACGAUGAUCACUAGCUGUUUGCGAUACACUGUAAGCGGCACAGCGAAAGCGUUAAGUGAUCCACCUGGGGAGUACGCCGGCAACGGUGAAACUCAAAGGAAUUGACGGGGGCCCGCACAAGCGGAGGAACAUGUGGUUUAAUUCGAUGAUACGCGAGGAACCUUACCCGGGUUUGAACGCAUUCGGACCGAGGUGGAAACACCUUUUCUAGCAAUAGCCGUUUGCGAGGUGCUGCAUGGUUGUCGUCAGCUCGUGCCGUGAGGUGUCGGCUUAAGUGCCAUAACGAGCGCAACCCUUGCCACUAGUUACUAACAGGUGAUGCUGAGGACUCUGGUGGGACUGCCAGCGUAAGCUGCGAGGAAGGCGGGGAUGACGUCAAAUCAGCACGGCCCUUACAUCCGGGGCGACACACGUGUUACAAUGGCGUGGACAAAGGGAGGCCACCUGGCGACAGGGAGCGAAUCCCCAAACCACGUCUCAGUUCGGAUCGGAGUCUGCAACCCGACUCCGUGAAGCUGGAUUCGCUAGUAAUCGCGCAUCAGCCAUGGCGCGGUGAAUACGUUCCCGGGCCUUGUACACACCGCCCGUCAAGCCAUGGGAGCCGGGGGUACCUGAAGUCCGUAACCGCGAGGAUCGGCCUAGGGUAAAACUGGUGACUGGGGCUAA
rnacentral:rRNA from 1 species